AACUGCCACUGGGGGAGCCUUUCAGAAAGGCUGAGACGCGCAUGGGCUGCGCGGACCCUUGGAACCUGAUCCGGAUCAUACCGGCGUAGGGAAGUGGGGCCCGCAGCUU
rnacentral:ncRNA from 2 species